rnacentral:lncRNA from 1 species
GCCAAGAUGUUUAGAUUGUGAACAUCAAGGAUAUUCCUAGUGACACUUGGAGAAAGGAUGAAAGACUAGAUACUGAGGGUGGGGAGGUGGAAUAUGUAUGUAUGUCAGGCUGUUUGAAUUAGCUGGGCAUGCCAGUAUAGAUUUAAAUUUUCAUAUCCCUUUUAGAAAUGAUGAGUUCUUUGGCUUUCAAAAAUGUCAUGUAGCUGUUUAGGUACUCCUAAAUAUAUAAAUGACUAAAGAUAUGGACUUAGGGGACAGGUUGAGCAGUAGGAAGCAUUUGAUAAUGACAGAUGAGUUUAGGUAAGUUUGCUAGUCCAGAUGCUAUAAUGGAGGCAGUUUAACCCCUCAGAUGAGAAGUGAUUUCUCACACAAAGCUAUUUUAUGGUCAGUUAGUUUAGGGUGCUCUCUUUGUUAAGAGCUUCCUUUUAAUUCAUAGCCCUAAAAUCCACACACUUUGUGGAUGUCCUUGGGACUAUUAAGAUCUACCAUAUUUACAUAGGGCAGAAGAUAAGAUUAUUGGACUGACUACUAGUCCUCUUCGGGGCAACAAGACGACUCUUCCUCAUUGAAGCUACCUGUGCACCGGAGACGCCCCUAAGGCACAAAGGGAGGACUUUCCCACCAGGUCAGUUAGAGCACAGUUCCCACAAGUGGACAGACAGACGUGAAGCAAGUCUUGCAGUUAACAAGAUGGACAUUGCUUUGUGUAUUUUGCAAGUGUUGGACUGAAUGUGCUCCUUUAAAUAGGUGUCCUUUCCAUACCAUAUUUUUAUUUCCAUCCCUCUCUCCCAGUUACAUGGUGUUAUGUUUAAUAAUUGUUCAGAAUCGGUAUAGAGUUCUGCUUCUCUUCCAACAUCUUUCUUGUGACCUGUGCUAGAUCACCUUUUAGUUUUAAGGGGAAAAACAAUUUUUCUAGAAAGUUUAUAGUUUGCUCUAGCAUUUUCUGUAGAAAUCUUUUGGG